UCCUCUCAGCAUCCAGUGACAAGAGGCUGUACAUGGGUGAGAUCCAGUGAAAAUGUGGAAUGGAAGGCCCCGUGACCCGAGGCUCAGACUACGCCAUUGGCCAGAGUCAGAUGGUGUCUGGGCUGACCUGCCUUCAGAUGACCAUCGUUAGCAAGCAGCUGGACCUGAUGGCCAUAUUCCAGCAACCUCUUGUACCCCAUUUACCAGAACCACUGUGGCCUCUGGUACCACCCGCCAGAUUCAGGGAUUGGUUUCUUCUCUUUAAAAAUAAGAUUUCUUCAGAAAGACAAACGUUGGUUUGAUAUUUCCUGUUUUUAAUCUAGGCUGGAGACAGGGAGUGGCAAUUUGAAAUUUGUUAGUUGCAUUUAUUUUUGUUUUAUUUUUAAAUUGAAUAACUAGCUUGUAUGAUAUUUGUUUCUGUGUUUGAGUCAUUUUGUAUUAAAAAUCCAAACAGAUACCUUUUUACAAGAA
rnacentral:lncRNA from 1 species